rfam:Triticum aestivum genome assembly, contig: Triticum_aestivum_CS42_TGACv1_scaffold_321661_4BL
UAUGUACUCCCUCCGUCCGGAAAUACUUGUCAUCAAAAUAGAUAAAAGAAGAUGUAUCUAGACGUAUUUUAGUUCUAGAUACAUCCUUUCUUAUCCAUUUUGAUGACAAGUAUUUUCGGACUGAGGGAGUAUAUA